UGACAGCAAGAGGAGUAAGAACAAGGCUUUCCUGUAUGAGAUUGUGGUAAAUCAAUGGAAUGGCGUUGAUGUGCGCAAAUGGGACUAUUUUGCACGAGACUGUCAUUACCUUGGUAUCCCAAACAGCUUUGACCAUCAGCGCAUGCUGAAAUCUGCUCGUGUGUGUGAGGUGGACGGGAGAAAACACAUCUGCUUCAGAGACAAGGUGGCAGAUAUGAUUUAUGACAUGUUUUACACCAGAUACACUCUGUAUCUGCAGGCCUACCAGCACAAGAUCGGCAACAUCAUC